UACGUAGGGUGCAAGCGUUAAUCGGAAUUACUGGGCGUAAAGCGUGCGCAGGCGGUUCCGCAAGUCAGAUGUGAAAUCCCCGGGCUCAACCUGGGAACUGCAUUUGAAACUACGGAGCUAGAGUGUGUCAGAGGGGGGUGGAAUUCCACGUGUAGCAGUGAAAUGCGUAGAGAUGUGGAGGAACACCAAUGGCGAAGGCAGCCCCCUGGGUCAAGACUGACGCUCAGGUGCGAAAGCCAGGGGAGCGAACGGG
rnacentral:rRNA from 1 species